rnacentral:lncRNA from 1 species
CGAACGUCGGAACAUCGACGACCCGUCAUUUUCUGACUCACUCCAAGGAAAGUCUACGUGUCCAAAUCGCCGACGGAAAAACCCACUCCAAAACUAAAACACCUGGCCUCCGCCGCCGGAUCCGGCCAGCUCAAUCAACACGUCAGCGCACUCUCCCCUUCCCGCGAAACGUGCUUCAACGUCCUUAACACGCAAAACGCCGCCG